GAUGAACGCUGGCGGCGUGCCUAAUACAUGCAAGUCGAGCGAACGGACGAUAAGCUUGCUUCUCUGAUGUUAGCGGCGGACGGGUGAGUAACACGUAGAUAACCUACCUAUAAUACUUGGAUGACUUCGGGAAACCGGAUCUAAUACCGGCUAAUAUUUUGAACCGCAUGGUGCAGAAGUUAAAGACGGUCUUGCUGUCACUUAGAGAUGGAUCCGCGCUGCAUUAGCUAGUUGGUAAGGUAACGGCUUACCAAGGCAACGAUGCAUAGCCGACCUGAGAGGGUGAUCGGCCACACUGGAACUGAGACACGGUCCAGACUCCUACGGGAGGCAGCAGUAGGGAAUAUUGCGCAAUGGGCGAAAGCCUGACGCAGCAACGCCGCGUGAGUGAUGAAAGUCUUCGGAUCGUAAAACUCUGUUAUUAGGGAAGAACAUAUGUGUAAGUAACUGUGCACAUCUUGACGGUACCUAAUCAGAAAGCAACGGCUAACUACGUG
rnacentral:rRNA from 1 species